GUAGCUGGUCUGAGAGGAUGAACAGCCACACUGGGACUGAGACACGGCCCAGACUCCUACGGGAGGCAGCAGUGGGGAAUAUUGGACAAUGGGGGCAACCCUGAUCCAGCAAUGCCGCGUGUGUGAAGAAGGCCUGAGGGUUGUAAAGCACUUUCAGUGGGGAGGAGGAUUACUAGGUUAAGAGCUGAGUAAUUGGACGUUACCCACAGAAGAAGCACCGGCUAACUCCGUGCCAGCAGCCGCGGUAAUACGGAGGGUGCGAGCGUUAAUCGGAAUGACUGGGCGUAAAGGGUUCGUAGGUGGUUUAUUAAGUUGUUGGUGAAAUCUCCGGGCUUAACCUGGGGUUGACGAAUGAAACUGAUAGACUCGAGUAURG
rnacentral:rRNA from 1 species